GUCGAACGGUAACAGGGAGCUUGCUCCGCUGACGAGUGGCGAACGGGUGAGUAAUAUAUCGGAACGUACCCAAGAGUGGGGGAUAACGUAGCGAAAGUUACGCUAAUACCGCAUACGAUCUAAGGAUGAAAGCAGGGGAUCUUCGGACCUUGUGCUCCUGGAGCGGCCGAUAUCUGAUUAGCUAGUUGGUGAGGUAAAGGCUCACCAAGGCGACGAUCAGUAGCUGGUCUGAGAGGACGACCAGCCACACUGGAACUGAGACACGGUCCAGACUCCUACGGGAGGCAGCAGUGGGGAAUUUUGGACAAUGGGCGCAAGCCUGAUCCAGCAAUGCCGCGUGAGUGAAGAAGGCCUUCGGGUUGUAAAGCUCUUUUGUCAGGGAAGAAACGGUGGAGGCUAAUAUCCUUCGCUAAUGACGGUACCUGAAGAAUAAGCACCGGCUAACUACGUGCCAGCAGCCGCGGUAAUACGUAGGGUGCAAGCGUUAAUCGGAAUUACUGGGCGUAAAGCGUGCGCAGGCGGUUUUGUAAGUCUGUCGUGAAAUCCCCGGGCUCAACCUGGGAA
rnacentral:rRNA from 1 species